ensembl:lncRNA
CACAUUUACACACGUCACAUUUACACAAGUCACAUUUACACACACAAGUCACACUUACACACAAGUUACAUUUACACAAGUCACAUUUACACACAAGUCACAUUUACCACAAGUCACAUUUACACACACGUCACAUUUACACAAGUCACAUUUACACACACAAGUCACACACACAAGUCACAUUUACACACGUCACAUUUACACAAGUCACAUUUACACACACAAGUCACACUUACACACAAGUUACAUUUACACAAGUCACAUUUACACACAAGUCACAUUUACACACGUCAUAUUUACACAAGUCACAUUUACACACAAGUUACAUUAACACACACAAGUCACACUUACACACAAGUCACAUUUACACACAAGUCACAUUUACACAAGUCACAUUUACACACAAGUUACAUUAACACACACAAGUCACACUUACACACAAGUCACAUUUACACACAAGUCACAUUUACACAAGUCACAUUUACACAAGUCACAUUAACACACGUCACAUUUACACAAGUCACAUUUACACACAAGUUACAUUAACACACACAAGUCACACUUACACACAAGUCACAUUUACACACAAG